AGAUAAAUUUACGUUUAAUACUUGUUAGCGGCAAAACAAAAGAAUUCCUAUUUAAUCCAACAGAUUCAGCUGGUGAUAUUGCACAAACAGUAUUUGAUAAUUGGCCGGAAGAUUGGGAGGCGUGAGGCUUGUUUCUAAGGCCUGAAAUUUUGCGUCUCAUUUAUCAGGGUAGAUUUUUACAUUGUAAUGUCACUCUGGGUGCACUGGGACUACCUUUGGGCAAAACGACUGUUAUGCAUUUAGUACCGCGUGAUAAUUUGCCAGAACCCAAUUCACAAGAUCAAAGACAAAAAAGUAAAGGUGGUUCUAGUAGAUGCUGUUCAACGACUUGCUGUAUUUUGUAACUAAAUUAUAGACAUUAGAAUUUAGCUUGAAAUUAUAAAUUUAAAAAUAAAAAAAAACAAAAAACUAAUAAAAAUCAUAUAUAAAUAAAAAAAAUUAUAAAACAAUUUUAUAAUUUAAAAAAUAAACAAGAAAAACAUAACAAUAAUAUUUAAAAUAAACAAAAAUUUAAGAAAAAAAACUUAAAAAUUUAGCAAAAUAUUAUUAAAAAGAAAUAAAAGAAAUAAACCUUCAUUUGUUCUGUACACUUACAAAUACCAGCAAACUACAUACCAAUACAAACAAACAUAUUUCAACCACAUACACUCUCCAACAUACAUACAUGCAAACAACAUAAAUGUUUUUAAAUUCAAAAUACGAAAAAAUUUAAUAAGAAAUCUAACAAAAAACAAUGCAAAAACAAAUAAUUGAAUUUACAAAAAAAAAAA